rnacentral:rRNA from 1 species
CUCCUUGGUGAUUAUAAAUAACUGAUCAAACCCAAGGGCUUGGGCCCGCCAAGGCUCCUUUAAAUUUCUGCCCUAUCAACUUUUCAUGGUAAGAAAAUGGCCCAACAUGGUUUCCACGGGUAACGGGGAAUUAAGGUUCCAAUUCGGAAAAGGAACCUGAAAAAAGGCUACCACAUCCAAAGAAAGGAACAGGGGCGCAAAUUACCCAAUCCCCAUACGGGGAGGUAGUGAAAAAAAAAAAUGAUACUGGGCCCUUUUGGGUCUUUAAAUUGGAAUGAAAACAAUUUAAAUCCCUUUACCAAGAAAAAUUGGAAGGGCAAGUCUGGGUGCCAGCAGCCCCCC